UUGUUUACUGUAGUUUCUGUAUUAGUUUACCUUUGUCAGCACCAAUUUCAUGUAAGCUCAGUAGCAAAUGUUGUGAUUUUGUCAUGAUUCGAGUUCUACAUCGUCAUUGUUAUUCAUGUGUACGAUGUUACUUUGUGUAUUAGAAGGAUAUUGUUACUACAGUCAUUUAGUAUGACUUCAUAUUACACUUGUGAAAUGUUGUACUUCUGUAUACUCUCACCCAGCAGAAGAGCCAGCAGAAGAGAAGAUUAAGAGUAUUGUGAGCAGAAGUCUCCUGCACACCAUCUGCACUUGUGUUGAAUGUUUUGGUGGAUCAGAUUGGAAACUGGAUGACAACAAGCAAGCCUGCUACUCACUAGCUUCCAAGUAUGAGGGUGGUGGUGCUGUAGGGACUUCAUAUCCAGGCUGAUAUCCGAAGGGGGAGAGUGGCUGCUGGGCUGAGUUGACUACUGUGGUGGAGUUUCUCACAGCUACAGCCUGCAGGUACCUCUUGUCGAGAGAAGAGGCUGGUUUCUCAGCCAGGAGCUAAGUUUGCAAGAAUUUGCCAAAUUUUAAGGUACGUGGCAAACUGAGCUAAACAGUUAGGCUACAAACAGACAGUUUUCAUAUUAGC